UACAGAGGUCCCAAGCGUUGUUCGGAUUCAUUGGGCGUAAAGGGUGCGUAGGUGGCGCUGUAAGUCGGGUGUGAAAUUUCGGAGCUUAACUCCGAAACUGCAUUCGAUACUGCGGUGCUCGAGGACUGGAGAGGAGACUGGAAUUCAUGGUGUAGCAGUGAAAUGCGCAGAUAUCAGGAGGAACACCGGUGGCGAAGGCGGGUCUCUGGGCCGAUACUGACGCUGAGGAGCGAAAGCGUGGGGAGCGAACAGG
rnacentral:rRNA from 1 species